rnacentral:rRNA from 1 species
AGUGAACGCUGGCGGCGUGCUUAACACAUGCAAGUCGAGCGAAAUUCUACAGAACACCGUAGAGUUUAGCGGCAAACGGGUGAGUAACACGUGGGAAACUUUCCCUGAAAUGGAGAAUACCCCCGAGAAAUCGGGGCUAAUGCUGCAUAAGACCACAUUCCGGCAUCGGAAAGAGGUCAAAGGCCCGCAAGGGUCGUUUCAGGAUAGUCCCGCGUCCUAUCAGCUUGUUGGUGAGGUAACGGCUCACCAAGGCUAUGACGGGUAGCCGGCCUGAAAGGGCGAUCGGCCACACUGGAACUGAGACACGGUCCAGACUCCUACGGGAGGCAGCAGUGGGGAAUUUUGGACAAUGGGCGAAAGCCUGAUCCAGCAACGCCGCGUGAAGGAUGAAGGUCUUCGGAUUGUAAACUUCUUUAAGAGGGAACGAAAAAAAUGACGGUACUCUCAGAAUAAGCCACGGCUAACUACGUGCCAGCCGCCGCAGUAA